ACGCUGGCGGCAGGCCUAACACAUGCAAGUCGAGCGGUAGAGAGAAGCUUGCUUCUCUUGAGAGCGGCGGACGGGUGAGUAAUGCCUAGGAAUCUGCCUGGUAGUGGGGGAUAACGUCCGGAAACGGACGCUAAUACCGCAUACGUCCUACGGGAGAAAGCAGGGGACCCUUCGGGCCUUGCGCUAUCAGAUGAGCCUAGGUCGGAUUAGCUAGUUGGUGGGGUAAUGGCUCACCAAGGCGACGAUCCGUAACUGGUCUGAGAGGAUGAUCAGUCACACUGGAACUGAGACACGGUCCAGACUCCUACGGGAGGCAGCAGUGGGGAAUAUUGGACAAUGGGCGAAAGCCUGAUCCAGCCAUGCCGCGUGUGUGAAGAAGGUCUUCGGAUUGUAAAGCACUUUAAGUUGGGAGGAAGGGCAGUAAAUUAAUACUUUGCUGUUUUGACGUUACCGACAGAAUAAGCACCGGCUAACUCUGUGCCAGCAGCCGCGGUAAUACAGAGGGUGCAAGCGUUAAUCGGAAUUACUGGGCGUAAAGCGCGCGUAGGUGGCUCGUUAAGUUGGAUGUGAAAUCCCCGGGCUCAACCUGGGAACUGCAUUCAAAACUGACGAGCUAGAGUAUGGUAGAGGGUGGUGGAAUUUCCUGUGUAGCGGUGAAAUGCGUAGAUAUAGGAAGGAACACCAGUGGCGAAGGCGACCACCUGGACUGAUACUGACACUGAGGUGCGAAAGCGUGGGGAGCAAAC
rnacentral:rRNA from 1 species